rnacentral:rRNA from 1 species
AGGACGAACGCUGGCGGCGUGCCUAACACAUGCAAGUCGAACGGAGGUAGCAAUACCUCAGUGGCGAACGGGUGCGUAACACGUGAAGAACUUGUCCAUCGGCGGGGGAUAGCCGGCCCAACGGCCGGGUAAUACCGCGUACGUCGGCGAGACCGCAUGGUCUUGCCGGGAAAGCAGCAAUGCACCGAUGGAGAGCUUCGCGGCCUAUCAGCUAGUUGGCGGGGUAAUGGCCCACCAAGGCGACGACGGGUAGCUGGUCUGAGAGGAUGACCAGCCACAUUGGGACUGAGACACGGCCCAGACUCCUACGGGAGGCAGCAGUGGGGAAUAUUGCGCAAUGGGCGAAAGCCUGACGCAGCGACGCCGCGUGUGGGAUGACGGCCUUCGGGUUGUAACCACUGUCGCGAGGGACGAAGAUCUGACGGUACCUCGAAGGAAGCACCGGCUAACUCUGCGCCAGCAGCCGC